UACGGGGGGGGGCAAGCGUUUGUUCGGAAUUACUGGGCGUAAAGGCUCGUAGGUGGCCAACUAAGUCAGACGUGAAAUCCCUCGGCUUAACCGGGGAACUGCGUCUGAUACUGGAUGGCUCGAGUUCGGGAGAGGGAUGCGGAAUUCCAGGUGUAGCGGUGAAAUGCGUAGAUAUCUGGAGGAACACCGGUGGCGAAGGCGGUUUUCUAGCUUAUUCCUGACGCUGAGGCGCGAAAGCAAGGGGGAGCAAACAGGAUUAGAAACAUCCAGU
rnacentral:rRNA from 1 species